AGCUUAUUAGUUUAAUAAAACAUUUGAUUUCGACUCAAAAAAUUAUGGUUAAACCCCACAAUAAACUU
rnacentral:tRNA from 1 species